rnacentral:rRNA from 2 species
UUCUGCCCUAAUACGGAGGGAGGAUGACGGUACCGGAAGAAUAAGCACCGGCUAACUACGUGCCAGCAGCCGCGGUAAUACGUAGGGUGCGAGCGUUAAUCGGAAUUACUGGGCGUAAAGCGUGCGCAGGCGGUUCGUUAAGACAGAUGUGAAAUCCCCGGGCUUAACCUGGGAACUGCAUUUGUGACUGGCGAGCUAGAGUAUGGCAGAGGGGGGUAGAAUUCCACGUGUAGCAGUGAAAUGCGUAGAGAUGUGGAGGAAUACCGAUGGCGAAGGCAGCCCCCUGGGCCUGUACUGACGCUCAUGCACGAAAGCGUGGGGAGCAAACAGGAUUAGAUACCCUGGUAGUCCACGCCCUAAACGAUGUCAACUAGUUGUUGGGGAUUCAUUGCCUUAG